GAUGAACGCUGGCGGCGUGCCUAAUACAUGCAAGUAGAACGCUGAAGGAGGAGCUUGCUUCUCUGGAUGAGUUGCGAACGGGUGAGUAACGCGUAGGUAACCUGCCUGGUAGCGGGGGAUAACUAUUGGAAACGAUAGCUAAUACCGCAUAAGAGCAGUUGUUGCAUGACAGCUGUUUAAAAGGUGCAAUUGCACCACUACCAGAUGGACCUGCGUUGUAUUAGCUAGUUGGUGAGGUAACGGCUCACCAAGGCGACGAUACAUAGCCGACCUGAGAGGGUGAUCGGCCACACUGGGACUGAGACACGGCCCAGACUCCUACGGGAGGCAGCAGUAGGGAAUCUUCGGCAAUGGGGGCACCCCUGACCGAGCAACGCCGCGUGAGUGAAGAAGGUUUUCGGAUCGUAAAGCUCUGUUGUAAGAGAAGAACGAGUGUGAGAGUGGAAAGUUCACGCUGUGACGGUAUCUUACCAGAAAGGGACGGCUAACUACGUGCCAGCAGCCGCGGUAAUA
rnacentral:rRNA from 1 species